CUCAAGUGCACCACUACUCUUUUUCUCACCAACUCCACUCAAAUAUUUAUUUGUUUGGCACCAAAUAAGUGGGUUGUCACCUUUUCCACCGAAAGCCAUGCCUUUCACCUGUCAAUCAGCCAACAAUUCUUUUCAUAUAAUCUCAUUAUCAGCAGCAACUCUCUCCAUUCUGCACUAAUAACCCACGUGAAAGAGGAACUCCAUUCAUUGCUAUUCUGCCUGCCAAACUUUAGAGUGUAUCUAUCCACUGAUUCAAUAUCAAUAACAGCAGCCACCAACACCAAAUAUUUGCAGGUCAAGCGCGAGAGUAAGAACUAUUCAAGAAGUCACAGUACCUUAGCAAAACUUUGCUAUCAGGUUGAGCUGUGAUGGGCGAUGAAGUAUUGCUGAGUGGAGUUUUUGUCGAACUUAAAGUAGGCUCAGAAAGGAUACAUGUCUUCAUACAUGUAUCUCAGUUAUGCAUUCCGCUGUAAACACUGAUUAUUUCAGUUACGCCUUCCGUUGCAAACUCUGAUAAUGUUUUAGCCAAGCCCCUAACGAUGCCUUUUUCCUUUUUAAGAAAUAUUUCACGCGUAUUCAAGCUCUUUGAGUAUUCUUUUAUGCACCCCUUUCUAAUCCCGCUUCUUAAUUUCCCUUCCCCAGUCAUGGUUUUCCCGGAUUAAUUAUCCUUAAUUAAGGCCGGUCGUGACAGAGUGGUAUCAGAGCAGUUCGUUUGCUCUGAGCCUAAGAGUUUAUUUAAGCCAAACUUAGAAUGGAUCACUAAAGUGUCUAGAGUUCAAUCGACAAAGCUCAGCACUUCAUCGCAUCACACUCAACGAAGCAGAAUGGUAAGCUCUUCCAAGUUUUAAGUUAAUGUUUACGAAAAGUGAGAAUUAUCGUAAUAACAAAGUGAGAAACUGUCAAUAGCUUUGUUAUGUUGUUAUUGAAUGAAAUGAUUUACGCAAGUACGAUUAAGUAUGCCUAUGGAAUGAAUCCCUAUGAACAUAGAGCUAUUAAGAUAUGAGAUCACCACUACGACAGAACAUAGAAGCAAACAUAGAAGAAAUUAGAUUGUAUCUUUUGGUGGCUAUAGUGAAGGCAGCAAGAUAAGUGAUGCAUAUAGAAUAAUUUUUAAGCUCAUGAUUUUAUAGCCACUAUAAAUCUCCAUGACUUAUGUUUAAGUAUCCAAUUUAGAUGAUGUGAUAUUAUAUGCUUAAGAAUUGUUAUGACUCAUGGAUUUGAGAUGCUAAGGACCCUUAAAGCUUACUACAUCAAUGUUGUCAUUGGAGUCUUGACUUGUUUACAAGUUAGAAUAAGUUGACCUUUACAAGAAUUCUUUAGAGGUUUGUAUUAGAUUAUGCUAGAGUGUACUAAUUGACACAUCCCUGCUAUCAGAAUGCCGCCUAAGAUAGGACGCCCUGCGAGAAACAAUAACAAUCGCAGAAACCGUAACGCUGUACCCGAAGAACCACAAGAUGCUCGAGGACAUAACCCAUCCCCUCCGCCCCCGACUAGGAGAGUCGAAGAACUCUUUUUAAGGCAGAACCCACCUACGUUUGACGG